rnacentral:rRNA from 1 species
UUCGGAUUGAAGCAAUUGUGACUGAGCGGCGGACGGGUGAGUAACGCGUGGGUAACCUGCCUCAUACAGGGGGAUAACAGUUGGAAACGGCUGCUAAUACCGCAUAAGCGCACAGUACCGCAUGGUACCGUGUGAAAAACUCCGGUGGUGUGAGAUGGACCCGCGUCUGAUUAGCUAGUUGGUGGGGUAACGGCCUACCAAGGCGACGAUCAGUAGCCGACCUGAGAGGGUGACCGGCCACAUUGGGACUGAGACACGGCCCAAACUCCUACGGGAGGCAGCAGUGGGGAAUAUUGCACAAUGGGGGAAACCCUGAUGCAGCGACGCCGCGUGAGCGAUGAAGUAUUUCGGUAUGUAAAGCUCUAUCAGCAGGGAAGAAAAUGACGGUACCUGACUAAGAAGCCCUGGCUAACUACGUGCCAGCAGCCGCGGUAAUACGUAGGGGGCAAGCGUUAUCCGGAUUUACUGGGUGUAAAGGGAGCGUAGACGGCAUGGCAAGCCAGAUGUGAAAGCCCGGGGCUCAACCCCGGGACUGCAUUUGGAACUGUCAGGCUAGAGUGUCGGAGAGGAAAGCGGAAUUCCUAGUGUAGCGGUGAAAUGCGUAGAUAUUAGGAGGAACACCAGUGGCGAAGGCGGCUUUCUGGACGA